GACGAACGCUGGCGGCGUGCUUAACACAUGCAGGUCGAACGAGAUCCAUGGAAGCUUGCUUCCGGAAGAUCUAGUGGCGAACGGGUGCGUAACACGUGAGAAAUCUGCCCCAGACUUGGGAAUAACAGUCGGAAACGACUGCUAAUACCGAAUACCUCCGGAGCGUCGCAUGGCGCACCGAAGAAAGCUUUUGCGGUUUGGGAGGGUCUCGCGGCCUAUCAGCUUGUUGGUGAGGUAACGGCUCACCAAGGCAUCGACGGGUAGCUGGUCUGAGAGGAUGAUCAGCCACACUGGGACUGAGACACGGCCCAGACUUCUACGGGAGGCAGCAGUGGGGAAUAUUGCACAAUGGGCGAAAGCCUGAUGCAGCAACGCCGCGUGCGGGAAGAAGGCCUUAGGGUUGUAAACCGCUUUCAGCAGGGAAGAAGAUGACGGUACCUGCAGAAGAAGGUGCGGCCAACUACGUGCCAGCAGCCGCGGUGACACGUAGGCACCAAGCGUUGUCCGGAUUUAUUGGGCGUAAAGAGCUCGUAGGCGGUUCAGUAAGUCGGGUGUGAAAACUCUGGGCUCAACCCAGAGACGCCACCCGAUACUGCUGUGACUUGAGUACGGUAGGGGAGCGGGGAAUUCCUGGUGUAGCGGUGAAAUGCGCAGAUAUCAGGAGGAACACCAGUGGCGAAGGCGCCGCUCUGGGCCGUAACCGACGCUGAGGAGCGAAAGCGUGGGGAGCAAACAGGAUUAGAUACCCUGGUAGUCCACGCCGUAAACGUUGGGCACUAGGUGUGGGUCUCAACCAACGAGAUCCGCGCCGUCGCUAACGCAUUAAGUGCCCCGCCUGGGGAGUACGGUCGCAAGACUA
rnacentral:rRNA from 1 species